ACGGGAGGCAGCAGUGGGGAAUAUUGCACAAUGGGGGAAACCCUGAUGCAGCGACGCCGCGUGAAGGAAGAAGUAUCUCGGUAUGUAAACUUCUAUCAGCAGGGAAGAUAAUGACGGUACCUGACUAAGAAGCCCCGGCUAACUACGUGCCAGCAGCCGCGGUAAUACGUAGGGGGCAAGCGUUAUCCGGAUUUACUGGGUGUAAAGGGAGCGUAGACGGAAAGGCAAGUCUGAUGUGAAAGGCAGGGGCUCAACUCCUGGACUGCAUUGGAAACUGUUUUUCUUGAGUACCGGAGGGGUAAGCGGAAUUCCUAGUGUAGCGGUGAAAUGCGUAGAUAUUAGGAGGAACACCGGUGGCGAAGGCGGCUUACUGGACGGCAACUGACGUUGAGGCUCGAAAGCGUGGGGAGCAAACAGGAUUAGAUACCCUGGUA
rnacentral:rRNA from 1 species